GGACCACAGAGAAUCACCUAGCUUAGUAGUGAUGUCCAGGUCCUAUUACAGGACCACAGAGAAUCACCUAGCUUAGUAGUGAUGUCCAGGUCCUAUUACAGGACCACAGAGAAUCACCUAGCUUAGUAGUGAUGUCCAUGUCCUAUUACAGGACCACAGAGAAUCACCUAGCUUAGUAGUGAUGUCCAGGUCCUAUUACAGGACCACAGAGAAUCACCUAGCUUAUUAGUGAUGUCCAGGUCCUAUUACAGGACCACAGAGAAUCACCUUGCUUAGUAGUGAUGUCCAGGUCCUAUUACAGGACCACAGAGAAUCACCUAGCUUAGUAGUGAGUAGUGACUCACUCUCUCUAAACUGGGAAUAAAACCUUAUGUGACCAACGCAUCUCUUCAUGACUCAUAUCUGGGUUGGGGUCAAUUCCAUGUAAAUUCCAGUCAAUAUAGGAAGUGAACUGAAAUUCCAAUUCCAAUUAUCUUUAAUGCUUUUCAAUUAGGAACAUUUGGAAUUAGGAAUUUUGGUUUACUUUCUAAAUUGACUGGAAUUGAAAUGGAAACAACCCCAACCCUGACUCACAAAAAAAAAGAUAUAUAUAUACCUGUACCGUUAUACCUACAUAGGUGCAGUUAGCGAAGAAGGGAGGCCUACCUGAACUCUGACCUCCACAGAAACCUAUAGAUUCAAAGCCAUAUACUUUAGAGCACACAGCUCAUCAUCAUACGCUAGCUUUAAAUGUGUUGAUAAUCCCUUACAUUCUUUUCUAUGACAAAUGUAACAUUGUCCCUUUGUCUCUUUCAAGGGUUCUUAAUGGUCACAUGAUAGGAGCAUAGAGCAGACCGUGGCUCAUAUCCACAGAGUCUCAGAGUAGGAGCACUGAUAUAAGAUCAGUUUGGCCUUUUAUGUCAUGAUGAAUAUAUUAUCUAAAUUACAGGGGGGCACACGUUCCUAAAUCAGCAGUCCAACUCCGAGACGCUAUUUUAAUACGGGCAAAGAGCAGAGGCCCAUGCCUCACUGAACCCGGUUUACACUGACUUGAAGUCAGCUCAGCUCAGCACAGCGAAGAAUGAGAUCACUCAAACCAAGAUCUUUGGAGCGGAACCAACGGCUGUUAGGCUAUUCAAAUGAAUUAACAAACGACCUUCAAUUAAAACAGAUCAGACAAGGAGGGCAUUUAUCAAUUCAAUAGGCACUCUCAGAAAUGUGGCCUCCCUCCAGUCCGUCAUUCUUCGAUGCCUGCACGGCACCAGUCACAGACAGACAGACGGAAAGACAGAUUGACAGACAGGUGGCCAGACAUUCUGUAAGAACAACACAAAUAUAUACUGUACUGUACAUGUCAAUGAAAAAUUCACAGUAAAAUUUUAAUUCAGUACAAUUUCAAGAAAAAUACUCGACAUUGCCGUUGAGCAAUUUUUUACUUUUUUACUUCAAAUGUAUCUUUUUACUGAAAUGCCUCAGCAGCAUCAUAUCUCAGGUUUUUUCUUUUAGUUUUGGAAGAAAAAUCGAAUAAAAUAAACAAACACUGGUAAUAAAGAAGCAGUCAAUCCAGAAUGUUGUCACAGAGAGGUCUGAUAAAGUGUAUAUUAAACAUCACAUCCAGAUGGUCUUGUCUUUUAUUUCAAACUGCCGAGCCAGCCAGCUAGCCAGCCAGCCAGGCCAUAUCUGACCAAUCUCUGAGAGACAAGUCAAUCUCUUCUGGGCUCUGCCAAUACAGUCUCCUCAGACAGCUAGAAGAUAAAUCCCCGGUUAGCAACAAAAACACAAUCAAUAAAGAUAGCAUGUAAACAAACCACAGAGGAGGGAACCGAUGGGUGGAGAGGAGAGAAAGAGAGAAAGAAAGAUGGAGAAGGUGCUGAAGAUAG
rnacentral:lncRNA from 1 species